UUUCACAUGGCUAAAACAUUUUGCAAUUCAUAUAUAAACCCAAAACAAUAUAAUGAUACAUUUAUAAAACUCUCUGCCGUUCAUGUAUAAACCAAAAUCAAUAUAGUGAUGCAUUCCUAAAACCCGUUGCAAUUGAUGUAUAAACCUUUUAGGAGUAUUGUAGAUUUUUCCUAAACACGUAUCUAGCAAGAAAGCAGACGGGCGCACAGCGUCCUGCCGACGCUGCCGGACCAAGGACCCAUGUGUCCCCCGCCCCCAUAAACCAGGCCAUGCACCACAGGUCCUGCACCGCGCCAGAUCUGGCCGGGCAAACGCCUGCCGGCCACCACCAAAGCAGGGAAGACCCCGCAGCCGCCACAAAUCACCGGGCCACAGGGGGAGAGCGGUGAAGUGUGAACCUGGAACCCCGACGGAGUCGAGAUGAAGGCGGCAAAGCUCCGACAAUGGCCAUCACAUGAUAAAUAAAGGGAAAAAACCCAAAUUAGCGGAUCUUCUACGCAUAUCCACUGCUAUAGAUUCAAAUAACACUAAUCGGAAAGCAAGGAUGUAGCUUUACAGGACCAACCAGUAGCUAAGAAAUCAGGGGCUAAACAAUUAUCUUGUCUAAGAGCUAGUACAUACUACAGAAUGAAUACUGCAACAAGAAUUAAUAGAACACUUGACCAGUCCAACCAAAUUAAUAGGUUAUAAUACUACACCAUGUCUUGACCAGCUCCAAACUAAAUUCUAUUUGGAUUUUGUGUAAACGAAGCCUAGUUAUACUACUACAAUAACCUAGAACCACUAAAGCACCCACAAACAUUCACAGUAUCCUCAUCUUGAUGAAAGCAAAAAUGUAUCAUAUAGCACGCACGCACACAAAUACUCACAGUAUCCUCAUCUUGAUGAAAGCGAAAAUGUAUAAUAUAGCACGCGCGCACACAAACAGUCACAUUAUCCUCAUCUUGCUGAAAGCAAAAAAUGUAAAUACAUACCUUGACCUGGAACAGUAUGGUCCAGUUUCAGUUGACAGUCUUGAUGAUUCAUGUUGGCCUUUAGAUAUGUUUUUGAACAACAAUUUUUCUUGCUGCUUGUAGAAGACAACAUCCUUCACAUAACCACCAUCUAAGCACUCCGCCAAUGGAAGGCCAUCAGUGAUACAGGCUAUCAUUGUCAGCUUCACCAUUUCAAAAAGAUAACAAGACACAAGCAAAAGUGCCACCUGCACAAAAAAGCAGAGGAGAGCUAGUAAAUACUUGUAACACUAGUGCACUUUGAGCUUGGAUGCGUCGCGACAGCCAAGCCUUGCCGCAUACCAUCAUUUACAUGACUAAGCAAAC
rnacentral:lncRNA from 1 species